GGACGGACCUAACAGGACAGGCAAUCACCCGAGUGCCCAUGGUUCUAGACCUAGAAGACAAGGUCGUAGGCUGAGAGUGGGACGGGGAUUCGAGACUGAGUCAAGAAAAUCAAAGUCCAGAACAGCUGCAGAGCAAAAGGAAGCAGAGCUGGGCGGAUCACUGCUUCAUCUUUUCCGAUGUCUAAUUCCUUUAUCAUCAGAAAAAAACCCCGCAAUUUGAAGAUCACUAAGAAUGUAUUGUCACUUAUUUGGGAAAAAUGAGUAACCAAAUGAAGAGUUCAAAAGCCGGUGAUGGCAGGGGGACCCAAGUUUUUCCGUUUUGUUCGAACCAGCUACAGUAGAAGAAGAACAGAGGAAAGAGGACAGUGGGAGAGGGAGGAACACAUUGAACGAAACAAAGGUGACAUAACACGGUCACAAGUCCUUACAUAACACAGGCGAGGC